CGCGCUUCUCGCCGUUGGGUUGGAGCAAGUACAGACUGAGGCUAAAAAAAAAUAAAAAAAAUCUGUUCUUAUCAGUUUAAUAUCUGAUACGCCCCCUAUCUGGGGGCCAUAUAUUAAAUGGAUUUUUGGAACAGGGAGAUGGAAGAAGAGCUUGCUCUGUCUACUCCACACCCUCCGGGACCGGUGCACCUUUC